rnacentral:tRNA from 1 species
GACCCCGUAGCUCAGCCGGAUAGAGCAAUCGCCUUCUAAGCGAUCGGUCGGGCGUUCGAAUCGCCCCGGAGUCACCA